GACUACGUCACCCAACGUGAAAAGUUAAAUACGCGCGCCAGAAUUUGAUUCGCUGUAAACCUAAAACACUAAUGGCCGUUAGCUAUUUUCAUUGUUACCUUAGCUUUGUUAGCGCCAAGCCGACAGAGGACAAGAAGCUCUGCCUCGACCAUGGGAAGAUUAGACAUCUCCUGACAUUCAUCGUCCAGUUUCCCAUUGUUCACGCUGCCUACAUCUGUUUGGGGGUAACCUGCCAUCCAUCAAUGCCAAAUGACUGUGUUUUAUACAUCUAUACUUUCCUGCCUGUUGGGACUUUACCUGCACUGGCAAAGAGGAAGAGAGUCUACAGCAUUUCCCCAAGGAUAUGCAUGCAGAGGGCAGGAAACAUCAAUCGGCCACCUUACAUGGCGGAUAUCUGUUGAUAUGACAAGGUUUGUCAAGUGUUUUGAAUCAGAUGAAAUGAAGCAUUCCUCAAAGCUCCUUUUGGCAUUGUUUGUGUUCAAAGAUGCAUCUGUGUGUGUAUGUGGCAAAUCAUAUUAACUUACAUUUUGAUAUAGGUUUAGUUUACCAAGUUAAACAUCUGUCUGUACAGUACUGUCUAUAAUCAUACUGUAUAUUGAGGUUUACAAUAGACUUGCAGCCGUUCCAAACCUGCCCAGUACGUGCAGCAAAUGUCUUAUUUUCCAAUCUGCUGUUGAUGGUUAACAACACAUAUUUAAUGAGAUACCAAUAUUUGGAAAACAAUUUGGUGCACCCCUAGAUGCAGGCUUUGGGAAAGUCUAAGUAACAUAAUAAUGUUUAAUCUUGGUAACAUUCCCUUACCUUACCUGUUCCUUUUCCUUAAUUUGAUCCACCUAAUGUGACUGUAAUGUAACCAAGGAAAAUAGCAAAUGGAAAGUGCAUAUUAUCUUGCCACUCACAAUAAUUGGAUAUAAUAUGUGACAUUAGGAGCCCCAAAUCAUCAUUUGGGUUAGAUGGAGUCAUCUGCAUAUAGUUAUACCACUGAAACCAACAAGGUAUACAUGGCUUCUGUAUUGAUGCCAAGGGCAAGUUGUACUACUGUAGGUAAAGUAUUUUACUGCAUGGUAUUAAUAAUAUGUUUCCAGUGAUGGUAUCAUUAAAAAAAACCAAAUAUGUUUCAUUAUUGGAAAACCCAUUUAUCCAUUGGA